CACGGCUAAUUACGUGCCAGCAGCCGCGGUAAUACGUAGGUGGCAAGCGUUGUCCGGAUUUAUUGGGCGUAAAGCGAGCGCAGGCGGAAUGAUAAGUCUGAUGUGAAAGCCCACGGUUCAACCGUGGAACUGCAUCGGAAACUGUCAUUCUUGAGUGCAGAAGAGGAGAGUGGAAUUCCAUGUGUAGCGGUGGAAUGCGUAGAUAUAUGGAAGAACACCAGUGGCGAAGGCGGCUCUCUGGUCUGCAACUGACGCUGAGGCUCGAAAGCAUGGGUAGCGAACAGGAUUAGAUACCCUGGUAGUCCAUGCCGUAAACGAUGAGCGCUAGGUGUUGGGGACUUUCCGGUCCUCAGUGCCGCAGCAAACGCAUUAAGCGCUCCGCCUGGGGAGUACGACCGCAAGGUUGAAACUCAAAGGAAUUGACGGGGGCCCGCACAAGCGGUGGAGCAUGUGGUUUAAUUCGAAGCAACGCGAAGAACCUUACCAGGUCUUGACAUCCUGCGCUACACCUAGAGAUAGGUGGUUCCCUUCGGGGACGCAGAGACAGGUGGUGCAUGGCUGUCGUCAGCUCGUGUCGUGAGAUGUUGGGUUAAGUCCCGCAACGAGCGCAACCCUUGUCUUUAGUUGCCAUCAUUAAGUUGGGCACUCUAAAGAGACUGCCGGUGACAAACCGGAGGAAGGUGGGGAUGACGUCAAGUCAUCAUGCCCCUUAUGACCUGGGCUACACACGUGCUACAAUGGGCAGUACAACGAGAAGCGAACCCGCGAGGGUAAGCGGAUCUCUUAAAGCUGUUCUCAGUUCGGACUGCAGGCUGCAACUCGCCUGCACGAAGCUGGAAUCGCUAGUAAUCGCUGGAUCAGCACGCCGCGGUGAAUACGUUCCCGGGCCUUGUACACACCGCCCGUCACACCAUGGAAGUCUGCAAUGCCCAAAGUCGGUGGGAUAACCUUUAUAGGAGUCAGCCGCCUAAGGCAGGGCAGAUGACUGGGGUACAGUCGUAACCCCCAAG
rnacentral:rRNA from 1 species